rnacentral:rRNA from 1 species
CACGUAGGGGCCAAGCGUUGUCCGGAUUUAUUGGGCGUAAAGAGCUCGUAGGCGGUUCGACAAGUCGGGUUUGAAAACUCCGGGCUCAACCCGGAGACGCCACCCGAUACUGUCGUGACUGGAGUCCGGUAGGGGAGUGGGGAAUUCCUGGUGUAGCGGUGAAAUGCGCAGAUAUCAGGAGGAACACCGGUGGCGAAGGCGGGUCUCUGGACAGUUCCUGACGCUGAGACACGAAGGCCAGGGGAGCAAACGGG